rnacentral:rRNA from 1 species
AGACCAAGGGUUCCUGUCCAACGUUAAUCGGGGCAGGGUGAGUCGACCCCUAAGGCGAGGCCGAAAGGCGUAGUCGAUGGGAAAUAGGUUAAUAUUCCUGUACUUGGUGUUACUGCGAAGGGGGGACGGAGAAGGCUAUGUUGGCCGGGCGACGGUUGUCCCGGUUUAAGCGUGUAGGCUGGUUUUCCAGGCAAAUCCGGAAAAUCAAGGCUGAGGCGUGAUGACGAGGCACUACGGUGCUGAAGCAACAAAUGCCCUGCUUCCAGGAAAAGCCUCUAAGCAUCAGGUAACAUCAAAUCGUACCCCAAACCGACACAGGUGGUCAGGUAGAGAAUACCAAGGCGCUUGAGAGAACUCGGGUGAAGGAACUAGGCAAAAUGGUGCCGUAACUUCGGGAGAAGGCACGCUGAUAUGUAGGUGAAGUCCCUCGCGGAUGGAGCUGAAAUCAGUCGAAG